rnacentral:rRNA from 1 species
ACGCAUCGCGAUAAAGUCUACAAGGCAUUGACGGGUAGCCGGCCUGAGAGGGUGACCGGCCACACUGGGACUGAGACACGGCCCAGACUCCUACGGGAGGCAGCAGUGGGGAAUAUUGGACAAUGGGCGAAAGCCUGAUCCAGCAACGCCGCGUGAGGGAUGACGGCCUUCGGGUUGUAAACCUCUUUCAGUAGGGACGAAGCGAAAGUGACGGUACCUACAGAAGAAGGACCGGCCAACUACGUGCCAGCAGCCGCGGUAAUACGUAGGGUCCGAGCGUUGUCCGGAAUUAUUGGGCGUAAAGGGCUCGUAGGCGGUUUGUCGCGUCGGGAGUGAAAACUCAGGGCUCAACCCUGAGCGUGCUUCCGAUACGGGCAGACUAGAGGGAUGCAGGGGAGAACGGAAUUCCUGGUGUAGCGGUGGAAUGCGCAGAUAUCAGGAGGAACACCGGUGGCGAAGGCGGUUCUCUGGGCAUUACCUGACGCUGAGGAGCGAAAGCAUGGGGAGCGAACAGGAUUAGAUACCCUGGUAGUCCAUGCCGUAAACGUUGGGCGCUAGGUGUGGGGACCUUCCACGGUCUCCGUGCCGCAGCUAACGCAUUAAGCGCCCCGCCUGGGGAGUACGGCCGCAAGGCUAAAACUCAAAGGAAUUGACGGGGGCCCGCACAAGCGGCGGAGCAUGCUGAUUAAUUCGAUGCAACGCGAAGAACCUUACCUGGGUUUGACAUAUACCGGAAAGCUGCAGAGAUGUAGCCCCCUUUUGGUCGGUAUACAGGUGGUGCAUGGCUGUCGUCAGCUCAUGUCGUGAGAUGUUGGGUUAAAGUCCCGCAACGAGCGCACCCUUCGUCCUAUGUUGCCAGCACGUAAUGUUGCGGACUCAUAGGAGACUGCCGGGGGUCAACUCGGAGGAAGGUGGGUAUGACGUCAAGUCUUCAUGCCCCUUAUGUCCAGGGCUUCAAGAUGCUCA